rnacentral:rRNA from 1 species
AGUGAACGCUGGCGGUAGGCCUAACACAUGCAAGUCGAACGGCAGCACAGUAAGAGCUUGCUCUUACGGGUGGCGAGUGGCGGACGGGUGAGGAAUACAUCGGAAUCUACUUUUUCGUGGGGGAUAACGUAGGGAAACUUACGCUAAUACCGCAUACGACCUACGGGUGAAAGCAGGGGAUCUUCGGACCUUGCGCGAUUGAAUGAGCCGAUGUCGGAUUCGCUAGUUGGCGGGGUAAAGGCCCGCCAAGGCGACGAUCCGUAGCUGGUCUGAGAGGAUGAUCAGCCACACUGGAACUGAGACACGGUCCAGACUCCUACGGGAGGCAGCAGUGGGGAAUAUUGGACAAUGGGCGCAAGCCUGAUCCAGCCAUACCGCGUGGGUGAAGAAGGCCUUCGGGUUGUAAAGCCCUUUUGUUGGGAAAGAAAAGCAGCAGGUUAAUACCCCGCUGUUCUGACGGUACCCAAAGAAUAAGCACCGGCUAACUUCGUG